rnacentral:lncRNA from 1 species
AAAGGAAUCAAAAUAGUACUUUCAAAGAGAAAUCUUUCUGUUAUUAAUCCUCUAAUCCACAUGACUUCUCUAGCUCAUUUGCAGACCUACGAAGGAGGCCCUUGGGAUACAAAGGUAAGACUCCCAUUUCCUGGUGCAUUUCAUUUGUUCGUGGACACGUCUAUUCUCUGAUGGCAAGCAUGUAACUUACAAGCAUCCAAAUCGUCUGCACAAUACAGACCUUGUCCCUAUAUAUAAUACUGGGCAAGCUGUUGCUCUAUGGACAGCAUUCGAGUCUCAUUCAUAUGGCCAGAGCCAAAUAUUUGUUUCUAAAAAUGGGAAAUGAGAUCUUUUUCAUUUGAGUGUUUUCAUUCAUUUACAAUAAUUCGACCAAAUAUUUUUGAAUACUUUCUACACACCAAAAACCAUCCAAACAUCUGGGGGAUCUGUAGAUGAAAGACAGAUUUCUGCCUUGGGGAGAGGGAACUCACAAUAGGGUCAGGAAGAAAGUCAUAAAAGCAGAGAUGAAAACAGCGUAAUGAUUGGUGUGGAGGAGAUACGAGUAGGAGGAUGGAGUGUACGGGAGCAGGGUUCUCAUCUCAGACAUUGGUAUAAGCUUCGGGGACUUACUAGUGACUGAGGUCCCCAUCUUGUAUGCAACAUCAGCACUUUCAGAGUACCUUCAAUGAGAUUCAUAUUUCAUUUCAGGUGAUCUUCUCAACAUAUACCUCAGUUAACAUUGUGCGGAUGGCCGCCUUCUCCUCUCCUGGAAAUAUGCAAAUUGACAACACAUUUGUAGGUCUCACUGGUCCCUGCAACUGAUGCAACCUUUCCUUUAAGAGAAUAGGACAUCAUGUUCAUAAAGAAACUUGGAUCUCGAACAUACCUAAAAAGCAGCUUAAAGUCCUUGGAGCAAACGGUACAGCUGAGAAAUGUUACACCAGUUGGGUGUCAAUCCAUAAAACCCGUUCUAGAGAAAAUCGUGGAGAUGUUUAAAGACAUGAAGCCAAAGACAAAUUUUUCAACCAGAACCCUCAAGAAAUGUCACUUCUGUGUCUUGCCAAGAGAGAUCCAGCAUUUUUUCUACAUAAACAUCUGCUGGAAACAUUUUAAAGAUGCUGCUUGCCUGACAGAGGAAUGGAAUGACUUGCUGAAGGAGUAG